UGAAUUCUCAUGGAGAAACAGAAGAAGGUAUUGGUGGGUCUGGUGGUGACUCUAAUGAAGCUGAAUUCAGUGGAGGUGGUGGUCAAGAUGAGCCAUUUGCAUGAGAGGGUACUGAUGGGAACCUUCUGUUAAGGGUCUAUCUUCAAAGAAAAGAAAAAUGAAUGGCUAGGCAGAAACCAUUUUUUCCAUCCUUCUUUUUAAAAAAUCUUUUGAACAAUAACUUGUCUCUGGUUUUUUUUUUUUU
rnacentral:lncRNA from 1 species